UGGGGGAUAUUGCACAAUGGGCGAAAGCCUGAUGCAGCGACGCCGCGUGGGGGAUGAAGGCCUUCGGGUUGUAAACUUCUUUUGCUCUGAACAAGGCAUGCCUUUGGGGUGAGUUGAGUGUAGGGGUUGAUUAGCGCCGGCUAACUACGUGCCAGCAGCCGCGGUAAUACGUAGGGCGCGAGCGUUGUCCGGAAUUAUUGGGCGUAAAGGGCUUGUAGGUGGCUGGUUGCGUCUGUCGUGAAAGCUCAUGGCUUAACUGUGGGUUUGCGGUGGGUACGGGCUGGCUUGAGUGCAGGAGGGGAGGCAGGAACUCCUGGUGUAGCGGUGGAAUGCGCAGAUAUCAGGAGGAAUACCGGUGGCGAAGGCGGGUCUCUGGGCUGUUACUGACGCUGAGGAGCGAAAGCGUGGGGAGCGAACAGG
rnacentral:rRNA from 1 species